ACUUUAAUUGAAGAGUUUGAUCAUGGCUCAGAUUGAACGCUGGCGGCAGGCCUAACACAUGCAAGUCGGGCGGUAGCACAGAGAGCUUGCUCUCGGGUGACGAGCGGCGGACGGGUGAGUAAUGUCUGGGAAACUGCCUGAUGGAGGGGGAUAACUACUGGAAACGGUAGCUAAUACCGCAUAACGUCUUCGGACCAAAGUGGGGGACCUUCGGGCCUCAUGCCAUCAGAUGUGCCCAGAUGGGAUUAGCUAGUAGGUGGGGUAAAGGCUCACCUAGGCGACGAUCCCUAGCUGGUCUGAGAGGAUGACCAGCCACACUGGAACUGAGACACGGUCCAGACUCCUACGGGAGGCAGCAGUGGGGAAUAUUGCACAAUGGGCGCAAGCCUGAUGCAGCCAUGCCGCGUGUAUGAAGAAGGCCUUCGGGUUGUAAAGUACUUUCAGCGAGGAGGAAGGUGUUGUGGUUAAUAACCGCAGCAAUUGACGUUACUCGCAGAAGAAGCACCGGCUAACUCCGUGCCAGCAGCCGCGGUAAUACGGAGGGUGCAAGCGUUAAUCGGAAUUACUGGGCGUAAAGCGCACGCAGGCGGUUUGUUAAGUCAGAUGUGAAAUCCCCGGGCUCAACCUGGGAACUGCAUUUGAAACUGGCAAGCUUGAGUCUCGUAGAGGGGGGUAGAAUUCCAGGUGUAGCGGUGAAAUGCGUAGAGAUCUGGAGGAAUACCGGUGGCGAAGGCGGCCCCCUGGACGAAGACUGACGCUCAGGUGCGAAAGCGUGGGGAGCAAACAGGAUUAGAUACCCUGGUAGUCCACGCCGUAAACGAUGUCGACUUGGAGGUUGUGCCCUUGAGGCGUGGCUUCCGGAGCUAACGCGUUAAGUCGACCGCCUGGGGAGUACGGCCGCAAGGUUAAAACUCAAAUGAAUUGACGGGGGCCCGCACAAGCGGUGGAGCAUGUGGUUUAAUUCGAUGCAACGCGAAGAACCUUACCUGGUCUUGACAUCCAGAGAAUCCUGCAGAGAUGCGGGAGUGCCUUCGGGAACUCUGAGACAGGUGCUGCAUGGCUGUCGUCAGCUCGUGUUGUGAAAUGUUGGGUUAAGUCCCGCAACGAGCGCAACCCUUAUCCUUUGUUGCCAGCACGUAAUGGUGGGAACUCAAAGGAGACUGCCGGUGAUAAACCGGAGGAAGGUGGGGAUGACGUCAAGUCAUCAUGGCCCUUACGACCAGGGCUACACACGUGCUACAAUGGCGCAUACAAAGAGAAGCGACCUCGCGAGAGCAAGCGGACCUCAUAAAGUGCGUCGUAGUCCGGAUUGGAGUCUGCAACUCGACUCCAUGAAGUCGGAAUCGCUAGUAAUCGUGGAUCAGAAUGCCACGGUGAAUACGUUCCCGGGCCUUGUACACACCGCCCGUCACACCAUGGGAGUGGGUUGCAAAAGAAGUAGGUAGCUUAACCUUCGGGAGGGCGCUUACCACUUUGUGAUUCAUGACUGGGGUGAAGUCGUAACAAGGUAACCGUAGGGGAACCUGCGGUUGGAUCACCUCCUUACCUGCAAGA
rnacentral:rRNA from 1 species